rnacentral:rRNA from 1 species
AUUGAACGCUGGCGGCAGGCCUAACACAUGCAAGUCGAGCGAGUGGCGGACGGGUGAGUAAUGUCUGGGAAACUGCCUGAUGGAGGGGGAGAACUACUGGAAACGGUGGCUAAUACCGCAUACUAUGGGGUGAACCCAUAUGGGAUUAGCUAGUAGGUGGGGUAACGGCUACACUAGGCGACGAUCCCUAGCUGGUCUGAGAGGAUGACCAGCCACACUGUAACGGAGACACGGCCCAGACUCCUACGGGAGGCAGCAGUGGGGAAUAUUGCACAAUGGGCGCAAGCCUGAUGCAGCCAUGCCGCGUGUAUGAAGAAGGCCUUAGGGUUGUAAAGUACUUUCAGCGGGGAGGCGUUACCCGCAGAAGAAGCACCGGCUAACUCCGUGCCAGCAGCCGCGGUAAUAC